rnacentral:rRNA from 1 species
GACGAACGCUGGCGGCGUGCCUAAUACAUGCAAGUAGAACGCACAGUUUAUACCGUAGCUUGCUACACCAUAGACUGUGAGUUGCGAACGGGUGAGUCACGCGUAGGUAACCUGCCUGGUAGCGGGGGAUAACUAUUGGAAACGAUAGCUAAUACCGCAUCAUCUUAAUUAUUGCAUGAUAAUUAAUUGAAAGGUGCAAUUGCACCACUACUAGAUGGACCUGCGUUGUAUUAGCUAGUAGGUGAGGUAACGGCUCACCUAGGCGACGAUACAUAGCCGACCUGGAGAGGUGAUCGGCCACACUGGGACUGGGACACGGCCCAGGAUCCUACGGGAGGCAGCAGUAGGGAAUCUUCGGCAAUGGACGAAAGUCUGACCGCGCAACGCCGCGGGAGUGAAGAAGGGUUUCGGAUCGGAAAGGUCUGUUGUAAGAGAAGAACGGGUGGGAGGGUGGAAAGUUCACACUGUGACGGUAUCUAAACAGAAAGAGACGGCUAACUACGUG